rnacentral:rRNA from 1 species
UACAGAGGGUGCAAGCGUUAAUCGAAAUUACUGGGCGUAAAGGGUGCGUAGGUGGUUUGAUAAGUUAGAUGUGAAAUUCCUGGGCUCAACCUGGGGACUGCGUCUGAUACUGUCAGGCUAGAGUUCUGUAGAGGAAGGUGGAAUUUCCGGAGUAGCGGUGAAAUGCGUAGAUAUCGGAAGGAACAUCGGUGGCGAAGGCGGCAUCCUGGACCGGCAUUGACGCUGAGGCGCGAAAGCCAGGGGAGCAAACGGG